rnacentral:tRNA from 1 species
ACUAGAGUCUGCUACACAAGCAGCUGGGCCCAUACCCCAAAAACGGUCAAACUGACCCUCUAGUUA